rnacentral:misc_RNA from 1 species
GGAAGGAUCAUUAUUUUAAUCAAUACAUCCAACUUACUUAAGUAAGCCUAAUGUCUAGAAUCGUAGAGCGGGAUAACGUCUGUUAUGUUCGAUGUGGACACCAUUACGCCGCGUGUAAAUGGCGAUUAUGUUUUGUUUUACACUGACCUGGCUUUUAAGUUAUUAGGGCGGUUGUUGCCGUCACGAAGCCAGCAAGUAUUGCUACGCUGGCACUUUUAAUCUUUAUUUUACGAACAUGAAAGUUGAAACGAUAAAUUUCGUCUUAUCGGUGGAUCACUCGGUUCUUGCAACGAUGAAGAACGCAGCAAAGCGCGAUAUGAAAUGCGAAUUGCACAAUUAGUGAAUCAUCAUAUUUUUGAACGCAUUAUGCACCAAUAAACUUAAUUUAAUGGUAUGCUUUUCUGAGUGUCGAACCCAAAUUUCGCAUUUAUGCAGAAGUCACCUUUCUAUUACCUUAGUUUUAGUUUCGUAGUUAAUGGUUUAAGAUGCUGAAACCAUCUCAUCGGACGGCGACUUCAAAGGUUUACAAUACCUUUGAAUCAAAAAGAUGCGAAUAGUUUUACCGGCAUAUGUCUUCCCGCGGAAUUACAGAUCUCAGAUAAAGUAAGAGCACCUGCCUAAUUUAAGCAUAUAAAUAAGCAGAGGAAAAGAAAUCAACAGAGAUUCCCUUAGUAACGGCGAGUGAAGCGGGAAUAGCCCAUCCUGAAAUGCUCUCGAUCGAAAGCAUAAUGUAGGGUGAGAAACCACUUUCAGCAACAAGUUACAUCAAAGUCUCUCUGGAAAGAAGCGACAUAGUGGGUGAAAUUCCUUUUACUGGUUUAACAGCGUGGUGUACGAAAUGGUUUUCUAGAGUAGGCUUGUUUGUGAUUGCAAGCUGAAUAGGGAGGUAAUCUUCUUCCAAGGCUAAAUAUUAACAAGAGACCGAUAGCGAACAAGUACCAUGAGGGAAAGUUGAAAAGCACUCUGAAGAGAGAGUCAACAAGAACGUGAAACCGCUAAGGUGGAAGGGAUGGACGCCAGUAAUAUUAAGGGUGACGCUUUUGUUCUAAAUCUAGCAUCGCUUAAGUGUGUCAUUUGCGUGUCUACUGCAAUGCCGUUUAAGAUUUGCUGGAGAAGUUCAAAUUGUCAUAAAUGAUAUCCAGGAUGAAUUUUGUUUCUGCAACGCGUCGAUUGAAAAGGUAUGAGGACUGUUUCAGUUCCUCAGCUUUAUAGACCAAUUUGAGCGCUUUUUCGCAAGAGACAGGAUUCAUGAAUUUGCCAAGGUGCUAGCGGACUUAGGCCUGCUUGAUGCAUUUGCAUUCGCCUUCGAGAUUCCUGGAAAAAUGGCGUCCAUUCUCCCGUCUUGAAACACGGACCGGGGAGUUUUACCUCUGUGCAAGUCAAAGAGUUCAAGCUCGUUGGCGCAAUGAAAUUGAAGAGAGUAUUGAGGUGGCAAGCCUUUAGGUGUUUCCAUCGCCCGGCCUCCUAAUUACGGAGAGGUACGAGGAUGAGCAUAGAGGCAGAGACCCGAAAGAUGGUGAACUAUACUUGAGCAGAAUGAAGCCAGGGGAAACCCUGGUGGAAGUUCGUCGCGGUACUGACGUGCAAAUCGUUCGUCCGACUUGAGUAUAGGGGCGAAAGACUAAUCGAACCAUCUAGUAGCUGGUUCCCUC